rnacentral:rRNA from 1 species
UACGGGGGGAGCAAGCGUUGUUCGGAUUUACUGGGCGUAAAGAGCGCGCAGGCGGUCGUUCAAGUCGCGUGUGAAAGCCCCCGGCUCAACGGGGGAGGGUCACGCGAUACUGAUCGACUGGAAGGCAGGAGAGGGUAGUGGAAUUCCCGGUGUAGUGGUGAAAUGCGUAGAUAUCGGGAGGAACACCAGUGGCGAAGGCGACUACCUGGCCUGUUCUUGACGCUGAGGCGCGAAAGCUAGGGGAGCAAACGGG